UCGAGCUCCUCCUCCACCGUCGAGCUCCUCCUCCUCCACCGAGAAUGCUUUUACACAAAACUUGGAGGCAGUAAGGGGCGGCCCAAGUAGCAAUAGCUCUGUUCAAACAACUGCUUAGGCAUCAAGCGUUCGGGGUUUAUGGCCUAGCACUAUCACCGCCUACAACAUGUCAACAUGUCCCGCUUUUAGACCUAUCAUUUCUUUUUUUUCAAUUGUUUUAUGAAUUUGUUAGUACUUUGGCAGUUUGACUAUUUGGACUUUGGCAUGUUCAAUUUAUGACUUCGUAUUCGGUAAUUUGGUUGAAUUUGUAUAACACUUUGGAGUUUGGAUUUUUGUUGUUAUUUGUUA